UUGGGGGCUCAUUGGCCUUGGGUUCCAUCGGAACUCCGAAGUUAAGCGAGUUUGUGCGAGAGCAAUCCUAUGAUAGGUGACCCAUUGGGAAGUUCUCAUGUGAGUUCCCAGAAACAAAACUGUGAGGGCAUAGUCGGGGCCCAAAGCAGACAAUAUAGUGCUACGGUGGAGUCGAGCCCGGGAUGUGACAAUUUGGUAUCAGAGCUAAUCUCUGGCCAGAAAUGUGCCAACGAGGACAUCGGGCCCUUAAGGGGGGUGGAUUGUAACAUCCCACAUCGCCUAGGGGAGUGGAUCCUGUAAGCCUUAUAUGUAUAUUCCUAUCUCUACCUAGCACGAGGCCUUUUGGGAGCACACUAGCUUCGGGUUCCAUCGGAACUCCAAAGUUAAGCUAGUUUGCACGAGAGCAAUCCCAUGAUGGGUGACCCAUUGGGAAGUUCUCGUGUGAGUCCCC
rnacentral:sRNA from 1 species